rnacentral:rRNA from 1 species
AGAGUUUGAUCCUGGCUCAGGACGAACGCUGGCGGCGUGCCUAAUACAUGCAAGUCGAACGCACGAAGUUGAAGAGCUUGCUCUUUAACCAAGUGAGUGGCGGACGGGUGAGUAACACGUGGGUAACCUGCCCAUUAGAGGGGGAUAACAUUCGGAAACGGAUGCUAAUACCGCAUAGUUUCAGGAAUCGCAUGAUUCUUGAAGGAAAGGUGGCUUCGGCUACCACUAAUGGAUGGACCCGCGGCGUAUUAGCUAGUUGGUGAGGUAAUGGCUCACCAAGGCAAUGAUACGUAGCCGACCUGAGAGGGUGAUCGGCCACACUGGGACUGAGACACGGCCCAGACUCCUACGGGAGGCAGCAGUAGGGAAUCUUCCGCAAUGGACGAAAGUCUGACGGAGCAACGCCGCGUGAGUGAAGAAGGUUUUCGGAUCGUAAAACUCUGUUGUUAAAGAAGAACAAGGAUGAGAGUAACUGCUCAUCCCCUGACGGUAUUUAACCAGAAAGCCACGGCUAACUACGUGCCAGCAGCCGCGGUAAU